rnacentral:rRNA from 1 species
AACGAACGCUGGCGGCAUGCCUAACACAUGCAAGUCGAACGAGCCCUUCGGGGUUAGUGGCGCACGGGUGCGUAACGCGUGGGAAUCCGCCCUUGGGUUCGGAACAACAGUGAGAAAUUACUGCUAAUACCGGAUGAUGUCUCCGGACCAAAGAUUCAUCGCCCAAGGAUGAGCCCGCGUAGGAUUAGUUAGUUGGUGGGGUAAUGGCCUACCAAGGCGACGAUCCUUAGCUGGUCGGAGAGGAUGAUCAGCCACACUGGGACUGAGACACGGCCCAGAAUCCUACGGGAGGCAACAGUGGGGAAUAUUGGACAAUGGGCAAAAGCCUGAUCCAGCAAGGCCGCGUGAGAGGUGAAGGCCUUAGGGUUGUGAAGCUCUAUUACACGGGGUGAUAAUGACAGUGCCGGGAGAAUGAGCUCCGGCUAACUCCGUG